GUUUAGUAUUGCCUAGGAAGGUAUUAACUGCUGGAUGAUUGAAUUAAGAUGAAUAUCUCCUUGUAGGAAUGGACAAUUUCUUGCUUAAUUUGGAUAGCAGACAGAAAUAAAAGUAACAAAGUUUUUUACUUUGGUUUUGAACUGUUGUCUUAAUGCUAGUUCAUCAGUCAUCCUAGUCCUACAGGCAUUCAGGCAUUCCCGGUAAUGUAAUUUUUAAUAUUUCAGGGUAAGUGUCUUCUUGGUCUCAUUUUGGGGAGAUGUGAAGAUGUCACAGUAGAAAUGUGCUGGUUUUUAUGGUGGGCAGGAGUCUGGUAACUCAUGUCUCAUUUGAACACUUCACCAAGCUUCUCUAGUGUGUUUGGUUGUACAGAUCUGAGAUAGGUACUCCCUGUAGUGAGGAAAUUGUAGUUUCUUUGCUUUUGUUAGUGUUUUGUAGGUGAGGAACACUUUGGACUAUAUAUAAUUUUGUAAGUAAAGGGCUGGAAAGGUGUUGCAUCAAUUAAGAGCACAAGGUGCUUUUCCAGAGGACCUAGGUUCCAUUCUCAGAACUCAUUUGGCAGCUCACAGCCAUCUGUAAGUCCAGUUUUAGAGGCUCUGAUGGCCUCGUCUGGUCUCUGUUAGUAACAAGCACAUACAUGAUAUAUAGACAUAAAUGCAGGCAAAACACUCAUAAAAUAAAUAAAAAGUAAAUUCUUUAUUUGAGGUAUAUAUUUUUAGUGUGAACAGAAAAGAUAAAAUUACCUAUUAAAAUAUAUGUAUACUUUAUAGCUAACACAGUAUUAUGGUUAGGAGUUGACUCUUGGUAAAAGGUUAUUUCAGGUUCUAUAAAGUAGUAAUGAACUAUAAAGUACACAUUUUGAAGAAAUUCUAUAGUAACCACCUAUAUCAGGUGAAAGUGUUUACAGUGUAGCUAUUAUCUGUCACAGUGGCUUUCUGUUUGUUAGUUUGAGGUUUGGUACCAGUUUUUUAUAGACACUUGGUAUAGAAAUAAAAGAAGCAAAACAAGGGCCGUGUAAUGGUCUGGAUUUUCUGUUGAAACCCAGUUUCUUAUCCUCCACUACCUGAAGAGCACUUUACUUGUUCCUAGGGACCUAUUCUCAAGUGCUUAUCCUCUCUUCAUCUUGGGUUAAAGAACUCACACAAAGUUCUUGUUCAGUAGGGAAACUGUGAAGGGGAUUAAGUGUUGGAAUUGUAUCUAGUAAUGACUUUCAGAGUGAGGAAGGAGGAGCCUUCUUAUUUUAUAAUAGUUAAUCUGUGACAUCCAAGCUGUUUUAUUAACAGCACUGAGCUGUUGUUUAUUCUUCUCACUGUUAACUGUGUAGUGAAAUGUGAAAAUGUUCGUUUCAGCGUGAGUCAAAGCAGUGUACCCUUGUACACUGUAGUUAUUGUACAUUGUGUCCAUUGUGCCAUUGUAGUCAGUGUACCCUUCCCCACCAUCUGCUGAAAACCCACCCGAGAGUGCUCCUGUGAAGCAGGUAACAGGUAGUUCUGUUAUCUUUGCUCCAGUAGUCUGACAAAACGGGAAGCACAUGUGUCGCUCCUCUGCUGGAGACAAAGGAAGAUGCUGUGCUGCCUUGGUGCAGGUCCAGCUGCUGUUGUCAUUUACAUGAAGGACUGCUUUCACUGUAAAGGCGACCUGGACAAUCAGAAUUACUCAGAUGCGAGUCUUUCACAGAGCAAUAUACAUAGACGAGAACACAUAAACAGGCUGAGAGAUGGCCCAGAACUUAAGAGUGCUUUGUUGCUGUUCCAGAGAAUCAAGAUUCGAUUCCCAGCACCUGCCACUGGCUGCUGUUAAGAGAUCUGGUGACCUCUUCUGAUCUCGUUGGGCAUUGCCUGCAUGUAGGGCAUAUACAUGUAUGCAGUCAAACACUCAUAAAAUAAAAAUAAAUGAAUGUCCAUGUAAAUGUAGCUUUUGAGAGUAUGACAAGAUUCUGAUACCAGAAACUGAACUUCUGGCCCGUAGCUUUACAGGCCUGUGUUUCCAGCCUAGUAGGUUGAGCUGAGCAGAUCCUCAUUGUACUUCCUGUUUAGCCUGAUGAAUGGUGAUCUGCCUUACUGCUAAAACUUGUUGACUUGACGUUAGUCUUCUUUGCUGUGUCACCUUCUUGGUCUUGCAUGUUGGUGGCUUUUGUUUUUGAAUUAAAAUAUUUCUUCUUUGAUAUCACCAACACUCCUUUUUUCCUAGCAAGUCUCUGAAAUUAAUUUUUACCUAAUCAUAUUUGACUUUUAUAUAUUCUUUACCUUGUAUGUGUCAUAAACAUUUUCUAGUACCUAAGCUAGAAACCACCAUUGUCUUAACCUUGACUCAAACUUACUGUUAUUUUUUUGUACAAUCUUUUAUAGAUUGUCUCUCAUUUCUGUUCUUACAGUUCAGAAUCCUGUGCCAUUUUUUCCAUGAGAUAAUGUGAUAUUAGACUAAUUGAUCUCUUUCUCAAAAUGCUGCAUACAUCUUUUACAAAACCUACACUGAUGCUGGUCCUUGUAUGUUUAAAAAAUUGGCUACUAAAUAAAUGAUGAGUUCCAAA